rnacentral:rRNA from 1 species
GAUCCUGGCUCAGGAUGAACGCUAGCGACAGGCUUAACACAUGCAAGUCGAGGGGCAUCAUGAGGUAGCAAUUACCUUGAUGGCGACCGGCGCACGGGUGAGUAACGCGUAUGCAACCUGCCUGAUACCGGGGUAUAGCCCAUGGAAACGUGGAUUAACACCCCAUAGUACUUUUAUCCUGCAUGGGAUGUGAGUUAAAUGUUUAAGGUAUCGGAUGGGCAUGCGUCCUAUUAGUUAG